GUUUACCAAAAACAUAGUUAAAGAAAUAAUCUUUAAUGGGAUCUGGUCAGUGGAAUUAAAUUUAAACACACGCCUUAGCGUGAGGGUGAUAAUGUAGCAUAAUAAAUUGGCAUUUAAUUGAUGUCUGGAAGGAAUGAUGAAACGAUUUUAUAACUGUCUCAAAUUUUAUAGAAUAAAAAUUAAAAUUAUAGUUAAGAUUCUAUAAUUUACUUAUUAGACGAGAAGACCCCAUAAACCUUUACUAUUUAUAUUUAUGAAUAUUAGGUAGUUUGGCUGGGGCGGCAAUCUUCUACAAUAAACGAAGAUAAUUUAUAAUAAAAUAAAUUUUUAAAAUUCUUUUUUUUUUGUUUAAUCUAAAAAUUUAACAAAAUUAGAUAUGGUAUAAUGACCUUUUUUAGUAAAAAAAACAUUAAUUGAUAAAAGGUACUUUGGGGAUAACAGCGUUAUUUAAAUUUAGAGAUGAAAUCAAAAUUUAGGUUUGCGACCUCGAUGUUGAAUUAGGAUAUCCUAAAAAGGCAGAAUUUUUUAAAGGUUGGAUUGUUCAUCCAUGAAAAUCUUACAUGAUUUGAGU
rnacentral:rRNA from 1 species